UUUUAAUUGUUGUGAAGUGUGCUUUGUUUUAUUUUUUAAUUUAAAUCGUUUUCGGUAUUUUCACAACUGAUCUCAACGCUCUGUUAGAAGUCUGCAGAAUAAUGUUGCUCUCCCUGCAGCUGUUGCGCUCUGCGCACGCUCUCUCUGUCACACACAUUUGCUUAUUGUACCCUGUGAGUGAGAAUUAUAAAGAGCUUAUUAGUUGCUUUUACAGGUAUUUCAUAGUGUAGACGGUCAUACAAUCACAUUGUCUGGCUGCUUAUAUUGCCUAAGGUUUAUUUUCAAACUCUCAAAACGCGAGAAACUUUUGCCGUGGACGGACGUUUCGUCGCCGUCGUCGUCGCGUGGUGGCUUCAGUUACUUGAAUUUGAGAACUGUUAUUGUGUUUUUAGGCGCAGCAAAGGUGCGCUCAAUACGUACCAAUAGAGUAUUUGGCGACGCGGCGUCGCUGAAUAAAACACCUUUCACCAGUUCUCAAAAAUUGAAAUUAAAUCAAAGAAUCGCGUGUGUUUGACAAGAAGAAAUAGUGCGAAAAAUUUGCCAAUCAAAUGCAAAUACAAAAACUGUGAACGACUUUUGUUUUUGCAUUUGGUUUUGUUUUUGUUCUUUUUGGCGGCGGCUGCUGUGUACGUAAAACAUAAAAACGAUUCUCAUUAAAAUAAUAACAACAACAACAUUAACACAUAAAGUGUUGUGUGUGUGCGUGCGAGUGGCUGAGUGGCAAUUUUUUCAUCGUUAUUACUUCAUAACAGAGCGCAGCGCACGCUGCUGCUUUUGUGCUCUCUCUUGAGCUGUGUGUAUAUCGCUCUCAGCAGCAGCCGCACCGGCAAGCAGCCUCAUCAGUGGAGGGUUGCAGCAGCAGCAGCAGCCGCAGUCGCGGCCACAACAAAAAGGUAGCAGCAAAGCUUUGGCUAACCCUCGCUCGCUCUCACUUGCGCUCUGUCUAUGCUCACCCUCGCACAUAACCGCUCAGCGGCCAAAAGCCAGCGGAAUUUUAAUCAAGCUGCAACAGCGAAGCCCGCAGAAUGCAGCAGGCGCAGGUGAAGCGUGCGGCAAUAACAGCGGCUGCCGUUAAUUGAGGCCAGGACCAGGACACGGUCAAAUGGCUUCAUUUGUAUGCAAAGCAAACUCAACCAAAACAACAACAACAACAACCAGAACAAUUGAGAGAACAAGUGAAGUUGAAAGCGAAACAAAGUAAACAAAGGAAAUGCAGCACAGCGGCUAAGCGCCUGAAGCUGAAAAGAAAACCUGAACCAAAUCCACGCACAAGAGUCGGACGGAAAGUAACUGAGGACAACAAACAGCACAGAGAAGGGCAACAGGAUGAUGAGCGCAGGGGGCACCUACAUAUCGACGGCCACCGUGGAGGUGCCACAGGCUCUGCAGGAUGGCGAGAAGUUCAUCAAAUGGG